UACGAAGGGGGCUAGCGUUGCUCGGAAUUACUGGGCGUAAAGCGCACGUAGGCGGCUUCUUAAGUCGGUGGUGAAAUCCUGGAGCUCAACUCCAGAACUGCCUUCGAUACUGGGAGCUCGAGUCCGGGAGAGGUGAGUGGAACUGCGAGUGUAGAGGUGAAAUUCGUAGAUAUUCGCAAGAACACCAGUGGCGAAAGGCGGCUUCACUGGCCCGGUACUGACGCUGAGGUGCGAAAAGCGUGGGGGAGCAAACAGGGAAUUAAGAA
rnacentral:rRNA from 1 species